rnacentral:rRNA from 1 species
AUUGAACGCUGGCGGAAUGCUUUACACAUGCAAGUCGAACGGCAGCACGGACUUCGGUCUGGUGGCGAGUGGCGAACGGGUGAGUAAUGUAUCGGAACGUGCCCCGUCGUGGGGGAUAACGUAGUGAAAAUUACGCUAAUACCGCAUACGAUCUAGGGAUGAAAGCGGGGGAUCGCAAAACCUCGCGCGAUUGGAGCGGCCGAUAUCAGAUUAGGUAGUUGGUGGGGUAAAGGCCCACCAAGCCAACGAUCUGUAGCUGGUCGGAGAGGACGACCAGCCACACUGGAACUGAGACACGGUCCAGACUCCUACGGGAGGCAGCAGUGGGGAAUUUUGGACAAUGGGCGCAAGCCUGAUCCAGCCAUUCCGCGUGCAGGAUGAAGGCCCUCGGGUUGUAAACUGCUUUUGUACAGAACGAAAAGGUUUCUACUAAUACUAGGAGCUCAUGACGGUACUGUAAGAAUAAGCACCGGCUAACUACGUGCCAGCAGCCGCAGUAA